GGGCAGCUCCUAGAGAUCGAGGACGAGGCGCGCGGAUUUGGCGCGCGACACGCAGGUCAUGAUCUUGGUGCCGGACUUGCGCUCGG
rnacentral:sRNA from 1 species